GAUCGAUGUAGACCGAGUAAAAAGAAAAAGGGAAGGAGAGGGGAGAAAGAGAGUAAGUAAGUGUGUGAGAGAAAGAGAGAAAGAGAGAGGGAAGGGUUGAUGAGUGCAACCGGUGUCUUCCUCCCCACCUUCCGCUUUGGACAGACGGCAAAACGACCUCGCGGCUUUCCGUUACCUAAAUCGUUCUGUCAGUUUAGCACGAUAUCUGGCUGAAGACUGACGUUUCUGUGACACGUAUUUCGCGAGAAACUAAACAGUAAUAACAUCGAAAUCGAAAAAGAAGGAUGCACCGAGUCACGACAUUUCUGGUUUUUCUUUCGAUUUUCCUUCGGUUUUUUAAAUUAAGCGUUCCGUUCCCGUCCGAAGUAACCCAUAAUUCGUUUAUCAAGUUUCUGUACUCUCUGCUUCGCUCCGCCCCCAGAGAAAAUUCUAUUCAUUAUUCCUGUACAAAUAUAAUAUUUCGAUCGGUUCUCGUUAAUAACGUACUAAACGAGACUUCUGUCAGGAACAAACGUUGAACAAUUUUCGCAGUAAAUUCUUUGUGCAAUUUGAUUUGUUUACAUAAUGGCAUUUAUAAAUCGGUAAAAGAAACAAAUACAGAAUGAUAUAAUUUCUAAAACGUACUUACUCAGAAAGCGCAUCGUUUUUCGGUGUCUUCUUAAUUUCUUCGAAAUUCGCCGAAUUUUCUUCAUAAUACGUAGAAAUGAUCGAACACGAAAGGAUCGUUCGUUAAUAUAUAAAAUGUACUUAGUAAAUGUAGAAACUGUGUGAGAGGAUAAUCAAAAGGUAACGCGAAGGAAGGUCAUGAUAACAAAGAGAAAGAGAGAGAAAGAGAAAAAGAGAUAGAGGAAACUCGAGCAAAAGCUCAGAAACAGAGAAAGAGAAAGAGAAAGAGAAAGAGAGAGAGAGCGAUGAAGAGAAAGUGAAAAUGAAACGAGUGGGGAGAGCAGAGAGUGGGAGGGCGGGUUAUUAAGAGCACGGAGAAGGUCGAGCAUGGUGGGGUGGUAGUGACGUAAUUAAUUCAAAACGAAGACACGAUGCAGCGCCACGGAAUGGAAACAAUCAGCUGUUGACUCUCCUCGGAGGUAUUUGGCGCGCUCGCUUUUACCCUUGUAACGAGAAACACUGUCUUACAUAAUUAUUCUCUUAUUUUUAUCGAAGAAAUUUUCAAAGUUAUCUUACGUGAAAUUUCUUAUUAAACUUCGGACGAUCUAAUUUCUUAAAAAAUGAAACAUGUGAAUAAUGGACGAAAAUAGAAAUUAAAAAAAAUAAUUAUAAUCUUUUAAUUUGCCACUAGUCGACACACGCACGUAAAAAAAAACAGAGAGAGAGAGAGAGAGAGAGAGAGAGAGAAAGAGAGAGAGAGAAAACAGAAAAAAAGAAAAAUAAAAGCUGUGACAUCUUUAUGAAAAUUAUUUUAUCAAAUUGCUUCUUUUUCACGACUUUACGAAAGACAUCACGAGGCUAAUAAGAGUCAACGUUGCGCGAAAGUUCAUUCUCUUGAAACUUUGUCUUCCCGAAAAAAGAUUGGGGAAAGAACGUUGGUGCCAGGACGAGGGCGUAGGAAGGACUGAGAGAGGAUCCAGAAACGAAUCCUGCCAUCUCGAAGGACCGUCCAACGAGAACUGUACCGUCGAACGUCGCGACGCCGGCGUCUGCGUCCCAUCUGCCUAUAUAUAUAUCUAUAUAUAUAUAUAUAUAUAUAUAUAUAUAUAUAUAUAGAUCUGUAUAUAUCUGUAUAUAUAUAUAUAUAUAUAUAUAUAUAUAUAUAUAUAUAUAUGUACACAUAUUGUAUAUGUAGGUAUAUGUAUCUACGCGCUUACAUAUAUACACAAGCUUGUUUAAUAUGUUAUCCGUGUAUGUGUGAAUAUCCUCCGCUAGAUUCAAUCCGUCUUCGGUUAGACAGUAUAUUUCGCCGAAUACUUUCAAUUCUUCCACGUCUCGUAGUUGGACUAUAUUUCACUCCUUUAUCAUACACGCGCGAGUCUGCCGGAAUUCAAAACGUACGUACAUUAUAUGAGUAAUACGUAAUUCUUAACAAAGAAACACGUAGAAAAAUAUUUCUUCGAUCGAUAAAAUAUAAUUCGAUAAAAAAAAAAAAACCAAACGAAGAAGUUCAAUGCAUUUGUCGGAUAAGUUUUCGGAAAUAAUUUUAUUUUAAAUUAUCUGAUAUCUAUAUAACUAAUAUAUAUAUACGCUUUUACAUGAAAGAUGGAAUAGAUGAUUUAAUGAAUGAAUUAUUAUUACCUGAGAUAAAUGAAAAGAUAAAAGAACAAAAAAGAAACGUCGACGAAAGGAAGUUUCGAAUUUGUAUUUUCCCGAGUUUCUCAUCAAUACUUUUUCUGAGAAUCGUGUCCUGCGCGCAGAAACUCACCCUUUCCCAACCCCGCGUAAAACGAGACGCCCUCGAGGCAACUCCUGCCUUGGCUGGGUGGCACGCAGGCGUCAACAUGGCCGCGACACGUCGACUCCAUCCGCCUAAACGAGUCUCUCCUUCGUUUAACUCCUAUCAGUAAUUAAUAAAACGCCACCAAGUGCUGCUUGUUCGGGGAUGUCGCGUAAAAGUAAAAACUCGACGAGGGAAAAUUAUUUUUUGUGACGUGUUAAUCUAAUAUAUCGAUUCGAGAGGAAACCUUUAGUGUAUCCUUUAGAACAAUGCGAUUAACGUCGGCGCAAUCGACGUCACCGUGAAGUGUUUCUUAAAGGAAAGAAAUUGGGGUUAAUUAACAACGAACGAGCUCAUCGCUUACGCGAACCUUAAAAGGUCCAUUCUCAAAAAAUUUCUCGUAGAACUUCGUGAACGCUAGCUACGUCUUUCGAAUUUCCUUUCAAGGCCGACAAAUUAACGUGAGUCGAUCGAUAAAAUAAUAAUGUCGGUAAGAAACAUGCUUUUCGCCUUAUUUAUGUUCGAAACGAAUUACUUCAUAUAAUCUAAAUUCGAUUAGCGCAAUACGUUCUAAAAGAAUUAUUAUAAAUUAUCGAUAUAAUAAAUGUUUAAAUACUUUACUUAUAUCUAUGAAUCCAUCGAAGAUACUCCAUGUUUCUCUCUUCGAGUCCAAAGCAAUACUGUAUGAUUUUACGAAGAAAGAGACAGAGAGAGAGAGAGAGAGAGAAACAAUACAACAUAAAUAGAGGAUAAUACAAGAGCGUCCUUUUAGAACCUUCAGAUCUGUUUUCUUUGUUUGCGUUAUAUAACUCGUACUCUUACCUUUACAAUAGCGAAAGAGAAGAAGAGAGAGAGAGAGACAGAAAGAGAGACAAAGACAAAGAAAGAGAGAGAAAGAGAAAGAGAAGAGAAAAAAGCACAGAAAACGACACAUCUUGAACGGUAGUUCAUUAAAGUGGAGGGACGACUCGACUUAACCCCUCGUCGAUGAAACUGAGUCACAUCGUGCAGCCGGCUGGCCGUAUAUGCAAAUCACUCGCGUGGGGUAUUCCCCUUCUUUCCCUCUUCCUUCUUCCCUUUCUCUUCGCUAACAUAGAGUAGAAAGAAAAAAAAGAAGUUUCGAUGGUGGGGAUGAACGAGGAAGCUCAUUAGUUUUUUUCUAUCGCGAUAGGGGUAUUCCGUUCGUAAACGGCGGCCAUCGUAACUCCCCUCACAGUUACUACUACCACCACCAUCAGCUUCACCACCACCAUUGACCACCAAACUGCUCUUGAAUUGUUUAUGUGAGAGCACGCUUUAUGCUACGAUAGGCGGCGGGUUCAUAUUGGUGACCCAGAAACACGACGUACUUUUAUUACGAAUUAUCAAGCGUACCUCUGGUCGUGUUAUAUUUUUUUUUUUCUUUUCGUUUUUUUCUUUUUUUUUUAUGAACGAUAAAGCAAAGAACAGCGAACUCCGUUAAAUUAUUUUUUACAUUACACACUCACACACACAUAUAUAAUAUAUAAACUUGUUCUUUUUUUAUUAAUAGUAAUAUUACUAUUAAUUAUUUAUACAUUAUAUAUUAUCUAGUAAUAUCUAUUAAUUAUUUAUUAUAGAUAAUAAUGAUCGUAUAGAUAUCGUUCCUUUUUUCAAAGUAACAAAUCACAAUAAAUUAAUUCGAUAAUUUCGCUUU